CCUUCGGGUUGUAAACUCCUGUCAUUUGGGAACAAGCUCGGGGAGGGGAUAAUCCUUUCCGGGGUGAUAGUACCAGAAGAGGAAGUCACGGCUAACUCUGUGC
rnacentral:rRNA from 1 species